GUAAUGGUGUCUUUAGACACCACUUGUAUCUUCAAAAAAAAAUGUU
rfam:Picea glauca, whole genome shotgun sequence.